rnacentral:rRNA from 1 species
UGGGGAAUAUUGGACAAUGGGCGCAAGCCUGAUCCAGCCAUGCUGCGUGAGUGAUGAAGGCCUUAGGGUUGUAAAGCUCUUUCACCGGAGAAGAUAAUGACGGUAUCCGAAGAAGAAGCCCCGGCUAACUUCGUGCCAGCAGCCGCGGUAAUACGAAGGGGGCUAGCGUUGUUCGGAAUUACUGGGCGUAAAGCGCACGUAGGCGGACUUUUAAGUCAGGGGUGAAAUCCCGGGGCUCAACCCCGGAACUGCCUUUGAUACUGGAAGUCUGGAGUAUGGAAGAGGUAAGUGGAAUUCCGAGUGUAGAGGUGAAAUUCGUAGAUAUUCGGAGGAACACCAGUGGCGAAGGCGGCUUACUGGUCCAUUACUGACGCUCAUGCACGAAAGCGUGGGGAGCAAACA